GGCCGGUUAGCUCAGUCAGUUGAGUGCGGUGCUAACAAUGCCAAUGUCGCGGGUUCGAUUCCCGUUUGGUCCC
rnacentral:tRNA from 1 species